UGGGGAAUAUUGCACAAUGGGCGCAAGACUGAUGCAGCCAUGCCGCGUGUAUGAAGAAGGCCUUCGGGUUGUAAAGUACUUUCAGCGGGGAGGAAGGUGUUGAGGUUAAUAACCUCAGCAAUUGACGUUACCCGCAGAAGAAGCACCGGCUAACUCCGUGCCAGCAGCCGCGGUAAUACGGAGGGUGCAAGCGUUAAUCGGAAUUACUGGGCGUAAAGCGCACGCAGGCGGUCUGUCAAGUCGGAUGUGAAAUCCCCGGGCUCAACCUGGGAACUGCAUUCGAAACUGGCAGGCUAGAGUCUUGUAGAGGGGGGUAGAAUUCCAGGUGUAGCGGUGAAAUGCGUAGAGAUCUGGAGGAAUACCGGUGGCGAAGGCGGCCCCCUGGACAAAGACUGACGCUAAGGUGCGAAAGCGUGGGGAGCAAACA
rnacentral:rRNA from 1 species